rnacentral:misc_RNA from 1 species
UACGUAGGUGGCAAGCGUUGUCCGGAAUUAUUGUGCGUAAAGCGCGCGCAGGCGGUUUAAUAAGUCGGAUGUUAAAGCCCCAGGCUCAACCGGGGAGGGCCAUUGGAAACUGGGAGGCUUGAGUAUAGGAGAGAAGAGUGGAAUUCCACGUGUAGCGGUGAAAUGCGUAGAGAUGUGGAGGAACACCAGUGGCGAAGGCGACUCUUUGGCCUAUAACUGACGCUGAGGCGCGAAAGCGUGGGGAGCAAACAGG